rnacentral:tRNA from 1 species
GGAGGCGUGCCUGAGAAAGGACUACCUUGAUAGAGUAGGCACGGAGCCAAUAAUACUCCCGCCCCCC